rnacentral:rRNA from 1 species
AUUGAACGCUGGCGGCAUGCUUUACACAUGCAAGUCGAACGGUAACAGGCCGCAAGGUGCUGACGAGUGGCGAACGGGUGAGUAAUGCAUCGGAACGUGCCCAGUCGUGGGGGAUAACGCAGCGAAAGCUGCGCUAAUACCGCAUACGAUCUAUGGAUGAAAGCGGGGGACCGUAAGGCCUCGCGCGAUUGGAGCGGCCGAUGUCAGAUUAGGUAGUUGGUGGGGUAAAGGCUCACCAAGCCAACGAUCUGUAGCUGGUCUGAGAGGACAACCGGCCACACUGGGACUGAGACACGGCCCAGACUCCUACGGGAGGCAGCAGUGGGGAAUUUUGGACAAUGGGCGCAAGCCUGAUCCAGCAAUGCCGCGUGCAGGAAGAAGGCCUUCGGGUUGUAAACUGCUUUUGUACGGAACGAAACGGUCCUGGUUAAUACCUGGGGCUAAUGACGGUACCGUAAGAAUAAGCACCGGCUAACUACGUGCCAGCAGCCGCGGUAAGAC